rnacentral:misc_RNA from 1 species
UCCGGUUUGGCACCGGCAGUCUUCCUAGAGUCCCCGGCUUUACCCGCUGGCAACUAGGAACGGGGGUUGCGCUCGUUGCGGGACUUAACCCAACAUCUCACGACACGAGCUGACGACAGCCAUGCACCACCUGUGCACGAGCCCCGAAGGGCUGCCGUAUUUCUACGACAUUCCCGUGCAUGUCAAGCCUUGGUAAGGUUCUUCGCGUUGCGUCGAAUUGAACCACAUGCUCCGCUGCUUGUGCGGGCCCCCGUCAAUUCAUUUGAGUUUUAACCUUGCGGCCGUACUCCCCAGGCGGUCGACUUAACGCGUUAGCUCCGGAAGCCACGCCUCAAGGGCACAACCUCCAAGUCGACAUCGUUUACAGCGUGGACUAC